CGCUCUGGUGGCCUAGUGGUUAUAGUGUACGCCUCGGAUGCGGGAGGUCCUUGGUUUGAUCCCCGGUUGAGUCA